UACGGAGGGUGCAAGCGUUAUCCGGAUCCACUGGGUUUAAAGGGUGCGUAGGUGGGCAGGUAAGUCAGUGGUGAAAUCUCCGGGCUUAACCCGGAAACUGCCAUUGAUACUAUCUGUCUUGAAUACCGUGGAGGUGAGCGGAAUAUGUCAUGUAGCGGUGAAAUGCUUAGAUAUGACAUAGAACACCAAUUGCGAAGGCAGCUCACUACACGAAUAUUGACACUGAGGCACGAAAGCGUGGGGAUCAAACAGG
rnacentral:rRNA from 1 species